UUUGGCGAACUGAUUCAAGGUGUGUGUAUGUUAUCUGAGUAGAUCAGCGUUACCUACGACAACUGAAAGACACGAGGUGAACCAUUUAUCACUUUAUAUCAUUCUGAUCGGCUUGCAUGUUUCGCUCCUCUUUAGAUCUAAUAACUAACUUCUGUUGGAUUGGAGUUUGAUACAAUGGUUCUUCUAAAUUCUGACAACCUUUGGAUCUCGAAUGGUUUGGUGAAAGUUAUAUUGGGUUUAUAAUCCUCAACUCAAGAAAGGCGUCAUAUAAGGCUAUUUAGUCGAGUUAAACUUCCGGCGACCAUACAUAGAGUUGCACGCCUGUUGUUUGGUUUUGCUAUCAACUGAGACUUUGGAGAAUAUCCACUAGCAAUCUCAAGUAAAAGCAAAGAAUUCAGAGACAGAGAGAGUGAAACCGCUAGAGAGAGACACGACGCUGACGGGAGCGGGUGCCAGGCAUGGCCUCCGGCCGGCCACUUUAUCUUGAGGACUCCGGUGGUCUUGCUUGUGUGCGUCGGAGUGUCGAUCAGAGAGAGAGAGAGAGAUAACGAUGGGAGUGGGUGCUGGCCAGCGACCGGUGAUGCUGCUUGUGGAUCCCGUCAUAGGUAACGGUGGUGCGUUUGGAGAUUUCACAGCGACCGAUGAUGGUGGUGUGGUUUCACGGCGGAGAAGAUGAGUGGACUCGGUUGCUUGCUUGGGCGGGCAGACAUGGUAGAAGAGGGGCUGUUGGUGGGUAGGGGCGGCGACAAUCGUCAGUUUUGGUGUCGUAGGAUUAUCGUGGUGCAGUCAUCCCUAUCAUUCCUCCUGUUUAUUUUCACUUCAGUCUCCGUCGUUUUCACCAGGUCCAAAAUUUGGUUGAAUACUGUUGAUCCUGUUAUGUUGGCCCAUGGAUUGCAGCUUCAGUUUAAUAUUUCACCAAACUGGAUGAUACGAUAGAGUUUUGUUUCGUGGAAAGAACCAAGCAUGAAUUGAAUGAAGCGAUGGAAUAAUCUUCGUUUAUCUAAUUUUUGUAUAUAGCGAUAUACUAGGUUGUAUACAUAAAACACAGACACGCUUUGGGUGAAUUCGACCUAUUUCACGAGUUUGACCCAUGAGUCCCAUUUUUUAGUUAAAAACGUAUUUUAAUAUUAAUUCAUCUAACAUUCAUUCUUCUAAAUGGAAGAUCCAAGUAUAUGGAUCCUUGAUCACAACUAUCAUGAAGCCAUGUUCACCAUCCAUGGCAUGUGAUGAAACCAUCUCUGAACUAGACAUGCUUGGCAAGGAUUCUUGCAAAGAUGUACUAACAUGGUGCAUCGCUAUCACUGCUUGGGUCAUCAAUGUUUUGUUUAAUGCCCAACCACCAUCAAGAGUGCAACGAGUAUACUUUUGGUUAUCAGAUGUAAUUGGAGUAUAUUUUUGGAUAUUACAAUUAUAUGAGUUUGCAGUUUGAUGUUGA